AGAAGAGCAUCUUUCAAACUCUCCAGCUCACUGUCCAGACUACAAAACAGCACAAGAAUUAUUCAAUUUUAGUGAAAAAUAAAUAUGAAUGAUUAUAUAAGCCAAAACAAUGCCAUGGAUCAACAUUUAUAGAGUAAUCCAUUAUUGUGUAGAGAAAGGUCAGAAUGAAAAUUUUCACCUCAUAUUUUGGAGCAAAACUACAGAUGUUUCUCCCACUCAAGAUCUAAAACAUCGUUCACGUCCUCCAUGGCAAACUUAACAUACUGGUACAACCGCCGGAUCUCCUGUUUAUGAAAACACACUUUCAGAUUCUAGUAACGUUAUUUACCACAUCAGUGACAUGCAGUCAGUUACUAAAAACAAUAAAUUUGACUCGUCUGGAAUGAUACAUUUUAGGGAUGUCCUAAAAUAUCGAUAUAUCGAUUAUUGAUCAGCACGUUAUUUUAUCAAUAUAUUUUUGUGCCAUCGAUAUAUUAAAAUUAGCCGACAUUUAAAUUAGAAGCCCGAUUGGCAUGCUUUCCAAUUCACUCAGUUGGCCUCUGUUUAACAGACUGCCGUUAUAGCGUUGGGAGACCACAAGAGGGCGAUAUACCAUUCACUGAAGUCGGUAGCGGUCACGAUCACACACACACACACACACACAGGAUGAGCUGGAGCGGUGCAGCUGAUGGCAGUCCAAAGUUACGAAGGUUUUUGUACUACUUCAAGAAUGAACAAAGUGACAUUGAUGAGUUUGCAGCAAAACCCUCCAGCAGACUGGUCUUCAGCAUGCUGAUGUCUCCAUGCAGAGACUGCAGGCAAAGAAUUAAAUAAUGACCGUUACACCUCAAACUGAGAACUUGAACAACAUUUACAGAACCUAACUUUAUCAGUUUAUGACAGAUUUAAAUUGAUUUAAACCUUAUUAUUUAAAAAAGGUAUGGUGGUGAUACCAGUUCUGGUACCAGGAGGUAAUAUCAUCAUAGUUUAAUAUACAGUAUACAAUGGUACUCCAAUAAAACCAUGUUACAUGUCCAAAAACAAUGGCAUUAUGAUGGUACCAUAUACAAAAAUGAUGGUUAUACUAUGGUACUUUUGGCAUUUUGUAGUUAGUGCAUGUGUGUGAGUUGUACGGAGCCCCUAAGAGGACAGGCAGGUCAUUUAUUUUCUGAAAUCAUUUUGCGUUCCAUCAUGAUACGUUUUGCGUUCCCUCGCAAUAGUUUUGCAUCCCCUAGCAAUUAUUUUGGGUUCCCUCGCAAUACCUUUAUCUAUCCUUUACCAUAAUUAACCAUUGUUUUACUACAGUAACCAUAAUUGAACUAUGGUAUUUGUGUUAAAACAAUAGUAAUAAUACAGGAAAACCAAAACUAUGGUAAUAAAAAUCAGUCAUUCUGCCAAAAAAUUAAAAAUAAAGACAUGGUUACUACUGUUUUACUACUGCAUAGUAUUGUUUUUAAAACUAUGGCUUCCACCAAAAUUACAAUUAACCAUUGUUUCACUUAGUGUUGUCAUGGUACCAAAACUUCAGUAGUCGGUACCGAUACCAGUCAAAUGUCACUGUUCUCGAUACCAAUUUCAAUACCACAGAAAAAACGUUGCUAAUAUGAUAACGUGACAGCUAUUGAAAACACUCCUUUAGCCUAUUUAACGUUACAUUUCAAUGUGAAUAAUAAAUGAAAAGACAUGCAUGUUUCCUUCGAGUGUUUCUAACACUUGUUUGUUUUUAAGCUGGGCCCUACUGAAAUCUGUUUUAUUUUUUCCCCAAAUUCCUUUUUUCCUUUUUUUUUGUAAUUAUUUUUCCAGAAUUCCAUGUUUUAAAGUUUAAUACAAUUUAAUGAUCAAAAUGGUGUCUAAUCAAAAAAAUUUCAUUAAACUUUUAAAAACUUAUCAACAUACCAUUGCAUUUUUUAACAAACUUUUAUUCAGUAUAAAAGCACUCUUGCUUGUGAUAUAUUGCUUAACUUUUUAUUAUUAUUACAAAAGUUAUUCAGUAAUCAUUAUUUAUUAUUAUAAUAAUAAUUAUUCUUUCUAUAGUGAGGAUUACAUUUUACUAUAGUUAUAAUAUAUUUCUGUUGCAAUUUCAGGCAUUUAGCUUUUAUUAUGAAUCGUGCUUUUAUUUGGACGUGUAUUUUUGAUGGAAGUUUAACUUCUCCAGAUAAACAGUUUGCUACAUGGCCCAGUGUAUAUAUAAAUUAUAUAAAAAUAACACUUCAGAGUGGAUUAGUGCUCUGCUCUGUCAUAUCUCAUACAAUGCAAAUGAUUCUCAUAGCCUGUGGAGUUUCCAGUGUAUGAGCGGUCUGCUUCACAGAUUCAUAUAAAGCUCAUGCAGUUCAUACAGAAUAAGAUUGCAGCAUUUCACAGUUUAAUAAUCACACUAGGACAUAUCACGAUUUUAAUUUGAUUAGUUGUGCUAUUCAGUGUAAAAGGAGUAACAGAGCACACGCUCAAAUAAGCAUGAGCAUUUGAAAGCAGUCGUGUGUCAGUAAGAUAGUGUGCAAGGUACUGGUGCUCGGUACUACCGGUACAGUAGAAUCACUGGUAUCCUUACAUCUUUUUUAUUUUAGUACCGACUUGGUACCGAUGUACCGGUACUUUUGACAACACUAGAUUCACUAUAGUAAAACUGCAGUUACCAUGUAACCAUUUUUGUGGUAAGAACCAUGGUUUUAAAAUCCAUGUUACAUGUACCACAAUGUAAUCAUGGAAUUACCAUAGCAAAAUUAACUAUUUCAGAAAAUAAAUCCCCUCUCUGCCUCCAAGGGGCUCU